GCUCAGGAUGAACGCUGGCGGCGUGCCUAAUACAUGCAAGUCGAGCGAACUGAUUAGAAGCUUGCUUCUAUGACGUUAGCGGCGGACGGGUGAGUAACACGUGGGCAACCUGCCUGUAAGACUGGGAUAACUUCGGGAAACCGAAGCUAAUACCGGAUAGGAUCUUCUCCUUCAUGGGAGAUGAUUGAAAGAUGGUUUCGGCUAUCACUUACAGAUGGGCCCGCGGUGCAUUAGCUAGUUGGUGAGGUAACGGCUCACCAAGGCAACGAUGCAUAGCCGACCUGAGAGGGUGAUCGGCCACACUGGGACUGAGACACGGCCCAGACUCCUACGGGAGGCAGCAGUAGGGAAUCUUCCGCAAUGGACGAAAGUCUGACGGAGCAACGCCGCGUGAGUGAUGAAGGCUUUCGGGUCGUAAAACUCUGUUGUUAGGGAAAGAACAAGUACGAGAGUAACUGCUCGUACCUUGACGGUACCUAACCAGAAAGCCACGGCUAACUACGUGCCAG
rnacentral:rRNA from 1 species